CAGGUGUGAUGAUUGGCGCAGGGGUACAGACCUCAGCUAAGUCAUGGGAGCUGAAUGUAUGUGUUUCACAUCUGUCCUGCAUGUAGCAGGUUGAUGGCGAACACUUACAUGAGACUGUUGCCUCAAUCUGAGUCUG
rnacentral:snoRNA from 1 species